rnacentral:rRNA from 1 species
AACGAACGCUGGCGGCAUGCCUAACACAUGCAAGUCGAACGAGACCUUCGGGUCUAGUGGCGCACGGGUACGUAACGCGUGGGAACCUGCCCUUAGGUUCGGAAUAACUCCCCGAAAGGGGUGCUAAUACCGGAUAAUGUCUUCGGACCAAAGAUUUAUCGCCUUUGGAUGGGCCCGCGUUGGAUUAGCUAGUUGGUAGGGUAAAAGCCUACCAAGGCGACGAUCCAUAGCUGGUCUGAGAGGAUGAUCAGCCACACUGGGACUGAGACACGGCCCAGACUCCUACGGGAGGCAGCAGUGGGGAAUAUUGGACAAUGGGCGAAAGCCUGAUCCAGCAAUGCCGCGUGAGUGAUGAAGGCCUUAGGGUUGUAAAGCUCUUUUGCCCGGGAUGAUAAUGACAGUACCGGGAGAAUAAGCUCCGGCUAACUCCGUG